UGCCAGCCGCCGCGGUAAUACGGAGGGUGCAAGCGUUAAUCGGAAUUACUGGGCGUAAAGCGUACGUAGGAUGUAAUGCAAGUCGGAUGUGAAAUCCCCGGGCUUAACUCAGGAACUGCAUUCGAUACUGCAUCGCUAGAGUAUGUUAGAGGAUAGUGGAAUUCCAGGUGUAGCGGUGAAAUGCGUAGAUAUCUGGAGGAACACCAAUGGCGAAGGCAGCUAUCUGGAGCAAUACUGACGCUGAGGUGCGAAAGCGUGGGGAGCGAACAGGAUUAGAUA
rnacentral:rRNA from 1 species